AUUCUUAGUUACAGAUACAUAAUAAAACAUAAUAAAGGAUGUUACAGGAUAAUGGACAUUCAACAGCAGAUGGUAAUUGCUGGACUUCUUUACAACCUUACAUCUUUACAUCGAGAGAGAGAGCCAGAGAGCCCAGAGCCAAGAGCCACGAGCCAAGAGAGAGUGACCUCGUGUCCCUCUGUUACUAUAUAGAAGUGUUCAUACUAACGUCAGCGUUUAACUCUAGCCAAAUAAGGACAAAACCCCCACAUCCACAUUCCAGAGCUCUCGGACAAAGAAAGCCUUGUGACUUAGACCAUCUGUUACCUAUGUCAAUCCACACAUCCAUAUAUAAUCAAUAGAAACAUAGAAUAUGCAAUAUUCUACAUUCCUUCUGUUUAUGGUUUGUCAUAAAACCAUAACACAAUGUCACUAACCUGUCCAUUCAUACAUCACUUGUAUCACAUUCAUUGAGCAUAGAACAAGAU